AUGUUUUUCUAUCUUCCUUCAAGAAGGUUUUUCAAAAACGAACUACUGCAACUACUGCACGAAGAGGUGGGAGUCCUUCGCCAAGAAAUCAUCCGUCUGAGAGAGGUUCAUGCUGCAGCCCCUGCCGCUUUUCCACCCCUCCUGUGCUACCCAAACUGCCGAUGGAGAGAGCAGAGGAUUUUCCAGCCCUGGGGGCGUUUCUGGCAGACGAAAGCAAUUUCGGAUACAUGGUCUCCCACCUCAGGAGUUUUGACGGGUCAACGCUUGGAAAGAAGGCAAACGGAAUGAUGAGCAGUUUGUUCACUUUAGAGUUAGCCGUAACCUACACCUACAAGCAAUCAACGGGCAAGCUUGUCUUCGAAGGGACGGCAGCCGAGAAGGCCGUUCGUCGCGCUGCAAUGGAAAGUUUCCGAGGACUUGCGUCCAAGAAAUACACGUUCCACGUCGGAAACCAGUUCUGCAACGCGCACGGCAACCGAAAAAGCAGGAAGACGCGUACGAGGAUACUCAAGGAAGUUUGUGCGUGUGGAGGAGCGGGGCCAGAAGUGGUCCAGGACCAAGAGCGAGGGAGCAGUCUUGUCACUUUUUUAACAUUUGUUUUAUGUUUGUGUUUUAAUUGAUUAUUCUUUACAGGCCCAUGCC